UAAUAUUCAGCCCCAGCAUCAAAAAAUUAUACUGCUGCCCUAUGAAAGGCAUCUCUUAACUCCGAUGAGGUAGGUGGUGACUGUGGUGGAGCAGCUUCAUUGUCAUCCCUUGCAGUGGCAGGUGUCAUUGGGCCAGCAGAUGAUGAAGCAGUGGCAGGUGUCAUAGGGCCAGCAGAUGAUGAAGCAGUGGCAGGUGUCAUAGGGCCAGCAGAUGUUGAAGCAGUGGCAGGUGUCAUAGGGCCAGCAGAUGUUGAAGCAGUGGCAGGUGUCAUAGGGCCAGCAGAUGUUGAAGCAGUGGCAGGUGUCAUAGGGCCAGCAGAUGAUGAAGCAGUGGCAGGUGUCAUAGGGCCAGCAGAUGAUGAAGCAGUGGCAGGUGUCAUAGGGCCAGCAGAUGUUGAAGCAGUGGCAGGUGUCAUAGGGCCAGCAGAUGAUGAAGCAGUGGCAGGUGUCAUUGGGCCAGCAGAUGAUGAAGCAGUGGCAGGUGUCAUAGGGCCAGCAGAUGAUGAAGCAGUGGCAGGUGUCAUAGGGCCAGCAGAUGUUGAAGCAGUGGCAGGUGUCAUAGGGCCAGCAGAUGUUGAAGCAGUGGCAGGUGUCAUAGGGCCAGCAGAUGUUGAAGCAGUGGCAGGUGUCAUAGGGCCAGCAGAUGUUGAAGCAGUGGCAGGUGUCAUAGGGCCAGCAGAUGAUGAAGCAGUGGCUGGUGUCAUAGGGCCAGCAGAUGUUGAAGCAGGGGCUGUUGCCGG